rnacentral:rRNA from 1 species
UAGGGAAUCUUCGGCAAUGGGGGCAACCCUGACCGAGCAACGCCGCGUGAGUGAAGAAGGUUUUCGGAUCGUAAAGCUCUGUUGUAAGUCAAGAACGAGUGUGAGAGUGGAAAGUUCACACUGUGACGGUAGCUUACCAGAAAGGGACGGCUAACUACGUGCCAGCAGCCGCGGUAAUACGUAGGUCCCGAGCGUUGUCCGAAUUUAUUGGGCGUAAAGCGAGCGCAGGCGGUUUGAUAAGUCUGAAGUUAAAGGCUGUGGCUCAACCAUAGUUCGCUUUGGAAACUGUCAAACUUGAGUGCAGAAGGGGAGAGUGGAAUUCCAUGUGUAGCGGUGAAAUGCGUAGAUAUAUGGAGGAACACCGGUGGCGAAAGCGGCUCUCUGGUCUGUAACUGACGCUGAGGCUCGAAAGCGUGGGGAGCGAACAGGAUUAGAUACCCUGGUAGUCCACGCCGUAAACGAUGAGUGCUAGGUGUUGGAUCCUUUCCGGGAUUCAGUGCCGCAGCUAACGCAUUAAGCACUCCGCCUGGGGAGUACGACANGCAAGGUUG